rnacentral:rRNA from 1 species
AUUGAACGCUGGCGGCAGGCUUAACACAUGCAAGUCGAACGAGUGGCGGACGGGUGCGUAAUGUCUGGGAAACUGCCCGAUGGCGGGGGCUAACUACUGGAAACGGUAGCUAAUACCGCAUACCAUCUGUGCUGCCCAGAUGGGAUUAGCUAGUAGGUGGGGUAAAGGCUCACCUAGGCGACGAUCCCUAGCUGGUCUGAGAGGAUGACCAGCCACACUGGGACUGAGACACGGUCCAGACUCCGACGGGAGGCAGCAGUGGGGAAUAUUGUACAAUGGGCGCAAGCCUGAUGAAGCCAUGCCGCGUGUAUGAAGAAGGCCUUCGGGGUGUAAAGUACUUUAAGCGGGGAGGCGUUACCCGCAGAAGAAGCACCGGCUAACUCCGUGCCAGCAGCCGCGGUAAUUC